GGAAGUAAAAGUCGAACAAGGUUUCCGUAGGUGAACCUGCGGAAGGAUCAUUAUUGUAUAACCGAGGUGCGAGGGCUGUCGCUGACCCGAAAGGUCGUGCACGCCCGAGUGCCCUCACACACAUCCAUCUCACCCCUAUGUGCACCACCGCGUGGGUCCCCCUUUGGCUUGUUCGGAGGGGGGCUUACGUUUUCACACAAACUUUGUAUGCAGUGUAGAAUGUAUUUUUUGUUUUUGCGAUCACGCAACCAAUACAACUUUCAACAACGGAUCUCUUGGCUCUC
rnacentral:misc_RNA from 1 species